rnacentral:rRNA from 1 species
GAUGAAGGCUAGCUACAGGCUUAACACAUGCAAGUCGAGGGGUAACAAGAGAAGAGCUUGCUUUUCUUGUUGACGACCGGCGCACGGGUGAGUAACGCGUAUCCAACCUGCCCAUAACUAGGGAAUAACCUUGCGAAAGUAAGACUAAUACCCUAUAAUUUCCUUUGACGGCAUCUGACGAGGAAUAAAGAUUUAUCGGUUAUGGAUGGGGAUGCGUCUGAUUAGCUUGUUGGCGGGGUAACGGCCCACCAAGGAAACGAUCAGUAGGGGUUCUGAGAGGAAGGUCCCCCACAUUGGAACUGAGACACGGUCCAAACUCCUACGGGAGGCAGCAGUGAGGAAUAUUGGUCAAUGGGCGGAAGCCUGAACCAGCCAAGUAGCGUGCAGGAUGACGGCCCUAUGGGUUGUAAACUGCUUUUAUACAGGAAUAAAGUUAGCCACGUGUGGUUAUUUGUAGGUACUGUAUGAAUAAGGACCGGCUAAUUCCGUGCCAGCAGCCGCGGUAA